GUGAAUCAUCGAAUCUUUGAACGCACAUUGCGCCCCCUGGUAUUCCGGGGGGCACGCCUGUUCGAGCGCCAUUUCGACCCUCAAGCCCCGGCUUGGUGAUGGGCUUCCGCCGCGCGGGCGGGCCCGAAACCCGUAGGGCGUCGCGGCAGCGGGCUCUGAGCGUAGCAAGAGAGCGCGAAGCCUCCCUCGCUCCGGAGAACCCUCUCCACGGCCGCCUGGAAAAAAAAGAACCCACCGCCGGCGAAAGAGGGGGCUCGACCCCCCCGUUCGCCGCUGAAAGGUUGGCCUCGGAUCAGGCGGGGAUACCCGCUGAACUUAAGCAUAUCAAUAAGCGGAGGA
rnacentral:misc_RNA from 1 species